rnacentral:rRNA from 1 species
GUGCCUAAGACAUGCAAGUCGAGCGGACAGAUGGGAGCUUGCUCCCUGAUGUUAGCGGCGGACGGGUGAGUAACACGUGGGUAACCUGCCUGUAAGACUGGGAUAACUCCGGGAAACCGGGGCUAAUACCGGAUGCUUGUUUGAACCGCAUGGUUCAAACAUAAAAGGUGGCUUCGGCUACCACUUACAGAUGGACCCGCGGCGCAUUAGCUAGUUGGUGAGGUAAUGGCUCACCAAGGCAACGAUGCGUAGCCGACCUGAGAGGGUGAUCGGCCACACUGGGACUGAGACACGGCCCAGACUCCUACGGGAGGCAGCAGUAGGGAAUCUUCCGCAAUGGACGAAAGUCUGACGGAGCAACGCCGCGUGAGUGAUGAAGGUUUUCGGAUCGUAAAGCUCUGUUGUUAGGGAAGAACAAGUGCCGUUCAAAUAGGGCGGCACCUUGACGGUACCUAACCAGAAAGCCACGGCUAACUACGUGCCAGCAGCCGCGGUAAUACGUAGGUGGCAAGCGUUGUCCGGAAUUAUUGGGCGUAAAGGGCUCGCAGGCGGUUUCUUAAGUCUGAUGUGAAAGCCCCCGGCUCAACCGGGGAGGGUCAUUGGAAACUGGGGAACUUGAGUGCAGAAGAGGAGAGUGGAAUUCCACGUGUAGCGGUGAAAUGCGUAGAGAUGUGGAGGAACACCAGUGGCGAAGGCGACUCUCUGGUCUGUAACUGACGCUGAGGAGCGAAAGCGUGGGGAGCGAACAGGAUUAGAUACCCUGGUAGUCCACGCCGUAAACGAUGAGUGCUAAGUGUUAGGGGGUUUCCGCCCCUUAGUGCUGCAGCUAACGCAUUAAGCACUCCGCCUGGGGAGUACGGUCGCAAGACUGAAACUCAAAGGAAUUGACGGG